GGAGUUGGAAAUUGACGUAACC
rnacentral:miRNA from 1 species